rnacentral:lncRNA from 1 species
ACACAGUUUUUGUGCAAAGAGGAGAAAGAUGUAUAGCAUAAGAAUAGCAAACAACCACUUCACAUGAUGUUUAGACAGUAAAUUUUAUGGUGACAGAAUCAAUCUUUCUUCUGUAGUUUCAUAAUGCCUACUUUAAAGAGUCCGGGAGCUAACGAAUCUGAAAUUGCAACAGUUAUUUCGAUUAACCUACAAAGCAACAUCGAGACAACUUAACAACAGCCCAAUAUGCAUGUAAGGGAUGCAACAAGAACUAUCAUGACUGUGUGAGAACACUCAACUGUAAAGUGAUCUGUAUUUUUAAAGUGCCAGUGUUAAAUACAUAAAAUGAAAGAGAAGGCAAGUGAUUCAAAAUGAGUUGAAAACGAAAGCUGGAGAGAGAAAUGGACUCAAUCAUCCCAAAUUCACAAUGAAAGACUGGAUGCUGUCUCCUUCUAUCAUAUGAAACAAAGAAAAUUGUAGUCUGUACCCUAACCUUCUUAAAUUCAUUACCACACAGAGACUGACAUCAUACAUAUCUCAAAUACAGUAUCAGACGCUGUUAUUCUUUAGGCCAAUACUGAAAAUAGAGAAUUGUGAUUGGAUGACAGUAGUUCAGAAAACCUUCUUUCGUAUCUCUUCACACCACUUUGACAAAGAGGGCCAUAGGCCACGAAAAGUUUGUUGCUUCACCACAGAAUGAGCAAACAACUUCUUACACUGCUGUUUCAAUCAUGACAUUUUCAUUCUCUGUUCUCAGCUCGUUGAUGUCCGAAGUCCACUUUCACUGUUGGAAAAGUACAGGUGUUGACUGCUUAAACACAGUCUUAUUUUUAUUACUUGCAAGCAAUGACCACCAAGUAGAAUGACAAGAUUUCCAUAAAAAUGGAAAUUAUGACAAUAAAGAAGUUUUGUGAUGACCUGAUCAGUAACUUAUUAAAAAACCAACAUUUUUAUUUAACGUGACAAAGAGUGACAACAUACCAUAUUCUAAAUCUUGCACCUUUAAAACCACAAUUUGGUCAACCAGUUGCUAAUUAGGUUCCCCUAAAUGUGAAUACAGUGUUACAUUUAAAUUACCUCAGCCAGACAAUUAACGAAGACUAAGAAACAUUAAUCUGGAAUCAAACACACGGCCAAUAUCAUUAAAAUGCCCAACUAAGUCUUCUACUGUGUCACAUUCAGAGUGCAGCUUCUCAGCAGUUUGCCAGGAGCCGCUGUCCUUCGUUGCCUGAUAAUGCCACCUGAUAAUGGCCUAUAAUGCCUUUCAUGAUGAAUUCAAGUGCUCUGGAGAAAGGGCUCACAAAAAUGUGCAUUUCCAGCCAUCGGCAAGCAGAGACUACGCCUUCAGCUCCUUUGGUUUUAAUAAUGUUCCCUUUGGAAAGUGAAUCAGUUGAAGACUGUUCCAAUAAAACAGGAAGUCAGAGUCUAGACAUGGCAUAAACCACUCUAUACAGUUUGUGACAACGUCCUUGUUUUUCUUUCUUCCACAUUUUUUUUCCAAAUACCAUGCAGUGAAGGCAGUUUGAUUUUAUCCAUAUUCUUACUGUAAACAUUAAGAAAUAUUCCAAGGACGACCAGUAAGCCUGACCACACGUA